CGUUGGUGAACCAGCGGAGGGAUCAUUAUCGAGUUUACAACUCCCAAACCCUUAUGUGAACAUACCUACUGUUGCUUCGGCGGACUCGCCCCGGCGUCCGGACGGCCUCGCGCCGCCCGCGGCCCGGACCCAGGCGGCCGCCGGAGACCCCCAAACUCUGUAUUAUCAGCAUUUUCUGAAUCCGCCGCAAGGCAAAACAAAUGAAUCAAAACUUUCAACAACGGAUCUCUUGGUUCUGGCAUCGAUGAAGAACGCAGCGAAAUGCGAUAAGUAAUGUGAAUUGCAGAAUUCAGUGAAUCAUCGAAUCUUUGAACGCACAUUGCGCCCGCCAGCAUUCUGGCGGGCAUGCCUGUUCGAGCGUCAUUUCAACCCUCGACUUCCCUUUGGGGAAAUCGGCGUUGGGGAACGGCAGCAUACCGCCGGCCCCGAAAUGAAGUGGCGGCCCGUCCGCGGCGACCUCUGCGUAGUAAUCCAACUCGCACCGGAACCCCGACGUGGCCACGCCGUAAAACACCCAACUUCUGAACGUUGACCUCGGAUCAGGUAGGAAU
rnacentral:rRNA from 1 species